rnacentral:rRNA from 1 species
GAUUUGAUUAAGCCAUGCGAGUCGAGAGGUGCAAGACCUCGGCGCACUGCUCAGUAACACGUGGAUAACCUACCCUCAGGAGGGGGAUAACCCCGGGAAACUGGGGAUAAUACCCCAUAGAUCAGGGAUGCUGGAAUGCCCCCUGAUUCAAAGGUCCGCCGCCUGAGGAUGGGUCUGCGGCCGAUUAGGUUGUUGUUGGGGUAACGGCCCAACAAGCCAUUGAUCGGUACGGGUUGUGAGAGCAAGAGCCCGGAGAUGGAUUCUGAGACACGAAUCCAGGCCCUACGGGGCGCAGCAGGCGCGAAAACUUUACAAUGCGAGAAAUCGUGAUAAGGGAACCCCGAGUGCCCGUAAAUUCGGGCUGUCCAUCAGUGUAAAUAACUGGUGAAGAAAGGGCCGGGCAAGACCGGUGCCAGCCGCCGCGGUAAUACCGGCGGCUCGAGUGGUGGCCACUAUUACUGGGCUUAAAGCGUCCGUAGCUGGAUUGUUAAGUCUCUUGGGAAAUCCACCGGCUCAACCGAUGGGCGUUCAGGAGAAACUGGCAAUCUAGGGACCGGGAGAGGUGAGAGGUACUCCAGGGGUAGGAGUGAAAUCCUGUAAUCCUUGGGGGACCACCUGUGGCGAAGGCGUCUCACUAGAACGGCUCCGACAGUGAGGGACGAAAGCUGGGGGAGCAAACCGGAUUAGAUACCCGGGUAGUCCCAGCUGUAAACGAUGCGCGUUAGGUGUAUCGGUGACCACGAGUCAUCGAGGUGCCGAAGGGAAACCGUGAAACGUGCCGCCUGGGAAGUACGGUCGCAAGGCNNGAAACUUAA